UACAGAGGAUGCAAGCGUUAUCCGGAAUGAUUGGGCGUAAAGCGUGCGCAGGCGGUUGUGCAAGACCGAUGUGAAAUCCCCGGGCUUAACCUGGGAAUGGCAUUGGUGACUGCACGGCUAGAGUGUGUCAGAGGGGGGUAGAAUUCCACGUGUAGCAGUGAAAUGCGUAGAGAUGUGGAGGAAUACCGAUGGCGAAGGCAGCCCCCUGGGAUAACACUGACGCUCAUGCACGAAAGCGUGGGGAGCAAACAGG
rnacentral:rRNA from 1 species